UUGUGUCAUAGAUCUUAACCUUAAUUGAUAGUAUGGCGGCUGCUGUCCCAAUCAGAGGCACAUGCCUAUAAACGAAACUGCACGAACAUCUUACUUUCUCUUAUAGCGGGUUAAAGCUUGCUAAGUAAUUUUGUACAUCGCUGUUGGUAAGGGUUAAAUGUUCAAAUAUUAACCUUUUCCUUCACACUUGAAUUAAAUUUAGAGGAAAAUAACAAGUCAAGACGCAGAGAAUGAGGAAGGAAGAGUGUGUGUCAAUUCUAAUGAGCUUUCACUUCACUCUUUUCUGAAACAUGAAAUAGAGGGAAAAGAAUCUGAUAGUAAGGGUGUGUUCAGCAAAUCACUCUGAACAGGUAAUCAGUAGUGCACACACC
rnacentral:rRNA from 1 species